rnacentral:rRNA from 1 species
ACGAGUUUGAUCAUGGCUACAGAACGAACGCUGGCGGCAUGCCUAACACAUGCAAGUCGAACGAGACCUUCGGGUCUAGUGGCGCACGGGUGCGUAACGCGUGGGAACCUGCCUUAGGUUCGGAAUAACUCAGAGAAAUUUGAGCUAAUACCGGAUGAUGUCUUCGGACCAAAGAUUUAUCGCCUUUAGAUGGGCCCGCGUAAGAUUAGCUAGUUGGUGGGGUAAAGGCCUACCAAGGCGACGAUCUUUAGCUGGUCUGAGAGGAUGAUCAGCCACACUGGGACUGAGACACGGCCCAGACUCCUACGGGAGGCAGCAGUGGGGAAUAUUGGACAAUGGGCGAAAGCCUGAUCCAGCAAUGCCGCGUGAGUGAUGAAGGCCUUAGGGUUGUAAAGCUCUUUUACCCGAGAUGAUAAUGACAGUAUCGGGAGAAUAAGCUCCGGCUAACUCCGUG